rnacentral:sRNA from 2 species
UUUUUGAAAAACUCUAACCUGGGUUAGAAGCGGAGGAACCAAUGUAUUGGGGCGAAUCUUGAAUGGAGAGACACCUUCCAGUCUUAGCCCGUCAGCUAACUCCGUCGGCAUUGGAAGGAGUACCU